rnacentral:lncRNA from 1 species
UAAGACUUCUGGUGUCUUAGCUUUUUGAGUUAUAAAUAGCUUCCUUUCUGGAGAAUGAUUCUCAGACUGUGAUUGUCAGGAUUUUUUAGUGUUUUUUUCAGAGCAAGGCAAAAGUAACCCCUCGGAAGGCUUUUCUGAAACGAAGAGAAGGUAUGGCAAGGCUCAAAAAAACUAAACAGAAGCCUUUGAAAGAAGAUAACAAGUAUUCCAGAAAAGCUGGCUUGGACUGCUGGAGCCAUUUCUCCCAGCCUGGUCAAGUGGAUGCAGAUAUACUGCAGCCAGGGGAAUGCCCUCAGUUAAAUAUACAGGUCAGUACACAUGAAAAACAAGCAGACUGUGCUUUAGCCGAGCUGGAGAUAAAGGCUCAGACUGACUGUGGAGAAAAAGUAGUUGAGCAAAGUCCAGAAGGAAAAGUGAUUGGGAAAGAUGAAGCUCCAAAGGAAAAGCCUGUUGACUCAACACAGAGAAGGUGGCCUGAAAUCCUGCAACCAUGCCCUGAAACAGUAAGAGAAAUGAACGUACAAGUAGGUGAGGAAAGGGAAGCUCGUCAUAUGGACUGUCUAGGGAAAGCAGGUGGAACUGAUGGAAAACUUGCGGAGAGUACCCUCCAAAAGGACCUAGGUAGGGUGGAUCAGCCUCUUCUGAGUCAUCUCGUAGAGGGAGUAAAAACCCCCUUGGAAGUCCUGCAAAAGCAUUCUCCGCUUCAGGAUUUAGAAAUAGAUCACACCGAGGAGGCAGAGUGGAGUGCAGGCCCCUCAUUCACACGUGGUCAGAAGUGGGUUCAGGUACGCCCACAGGAACUUGUUUUGGGGAGCCAGAGCUCAGAAAGCAUAAGACAAAUCCAUACUGGAUUUAAGAUGGUGAAUGGUAAGAUAGUAAAAAUUGCACAUAGCUCACCUGAGGUUGUGGAGAAGGGAAGCUCAUCCUCAGCCUUGCAGCAGGAGUGGCAAAGGAAGGGGACAGCUGCCUUGAAGUGGCAUGUUGCAUCUCUGUCCUGUGAGUCAAGCUGCUUAUCCUCCAGCAGUGAUGAUGACCCCAAAUCUCAUGAUGCUCAGUAUGCUUCGCAGCAUGGGCCUCAGGGAGUAGAUCAUACUGACAGACAUUUGGAUCUCUCUGAUGGCGAUUAUGCUAGUGAUGAGCCCAGUGGAACUGAAAAAAUGUCUAUUAAAACAUACAGCAGAUCACCCCCAAGGAAACAAGAUAUUCAAGUGAUGUCAAGGCAAUGUCUCUCCUGCAGUCUAAGCAGCAGUGAUUCCAGUAUUGGAGCUGUCACACUGAAAGGAAGCAAGGCUCACUCUUCUCUUCAGCAGUCCCCAUUUCAUCUCACAAGGUUGAAAAGGAGAGAGCGUGAGCCUAAAUCAAAGAAUGAGAAUAAGGCCAGGGAUGUUAAAAGCCUAGAUUUGCCACGCUCAACAGGGACUGGUGAGAUUCCUGCUUUCAAGACUAAAGAAACCCCUGCAGUGGAGGAACCACAGAAAAAACUGUUUACAGACACAUUAGAAGAAACCCAGAACAACCUUACCAGAGGAUUAGAGACUGAUGUGUAUCACAGAGGAACCCCUUCACUGGCUAGAGUGAAAGAAGAACCAGAGAAAGCAA